rnacentral:rRNA from 1 species
CUGAAUAACUACGCUGAUCGCACGGUCUCGCACCGGCGACAUAUCCUUCAAGUGUCUGCCUUAUCAACUUUCGAUGGUAGUUUACAUGACUACCAUGGUUGUAACGGGUAACGGAGAAUAAGGGUUCGACUCCGGAGAGGGAGCCUGAGAAACGGCUACCACAUCCAAGGAAGGCAGCAGGCGCGCAAAUUACCCACUCUCAGAACGAGGAGGUAGUGACGAAAAAUAACGAGACAGUUCUCUAUGAGGUCUGUCAUCGGAAUGGGUACAAUCUAAACCCUUUAACGAGGAUCUAUUGGAGGGCAAGUCUGGUGCCAGCAGCCGCGGUAAUUCCAGCUCCAAUAGCGUAUAUUAAAGUUGUUGCGGUUAAAAAG